UACGAAGGGGGCUAGCGUUGCUCGGAAUCACUGGGCGUAAAGGGCGCGUAGGCGGCCAUUCAAGUCGGAGGUGAAAGCCCAGGGCUCAACCCUGGAAUUGCCUUCGAUACUGUCUGGCUAGAGACCGGAAGAGGUAAGUGGAACUGCGGGUGUAGAGGUGAAAUUCGUAGAUAUUCGCACGAACACCAGUGGCGAAGGCGGCUUACUGGUCCGGUUCUGACGCUGAGGCGCGAAAGCGUGGGGAGCAAACAGG
rnacentral:rRNA from 1 species